rnacentral:rRNA from 1 species
UUAAAAUAUUAAGGGCACACGAAGGAUGCCUAGGUAGUAAGAGCCGAUGAAGGACGUGGUAAGCUGCGAUAAGUCUGGUCAAGUUGCAAUCGAACGUUGACGCCAGAAUUUCCCAAUGGAGCAAUCUGCUAAGAUGGAGUCUUAGCACGAAAGAGGGUACCGGUUGAACUGAAACAUCUAAGUAAACCGAGGAAAAGAAAGUAAAAACGAUUCCCCAAGUAGCGGCGAGCGAACGGGGAUGAGCCCAAACCAUACAAAUGCCAAGGAUGCAGCCGUUGUUUGUAUGGGGUAGCGGGAACGCACUCUGAAGAUCUGCAAGGUAUUCAGCACGAGUCUUUAACGAACUGGAAUAGUCCUGGGAAGGCUAACCGUAGAAUGUGAUAGUCAUGUACAGGUAAGUUUAAAAGAUAGUGUAGAGCGUAUCCCAAGUAGCACGGAACACGAGAAAUUCUGUGUGAAUCAGCGAGGACCAAAUCUCGUAAGGCUAAAUACUCUUACUAACCGAUAGCGCAUAGUACCGUGAGGGAAAGGUGAAAAGAACCCCGGGAGGGGAGUGAAAUAGAACCUGAAACCGUGUGCCUACAACCGCUCAGAGCCCCUUAUGAGGGUGAUGAGGUGCUUUUUGUAGAACGAGCCAACGAGUUACGGUAUGUAGCAAGGUUAAGUACUUAAGGUACGGAGCCGAAGGGAAACCGAGUCUGAAUAGGGCGACAUAGUCGCUGGGCGUAGACGCGAAACCUGGUGAUCUAUACCUGUCCAGGAUGAAGCUGUGGUAAGACACAGUGGAGGUCCGAACUCACCGCCGUUGAAAAGUUGGGAGAUGAGGUAGGUAUAGGGGUGAAAAGCCAAUCGAACCAGGAGAUAGCUCGUUCUCUCCGAAAUGCAUUUAGGUGCAGCCUUGAACGUUUAAUUAUGGGGGUAGAGCACUGACUGGCCUAGGGGGCAUACUGCUUACUGAAGUCAAUCAAACUCCGAAUACCAUAAUUCCAAGUUCAGGAGUGAGACUAUGGGAAUUAACUUCCAUGGUCAAAAGGGAAACAACCCAGACCACCAGCUAAGGUCCCUAAUUAUAUCUCAGUGGGAAAGGAGGUGGAGAUUCACAAACAACCAGGAGGUUGGCUUAGAAGCAGCCAUACCUUUAAAGAGUGCGUAAUAGCUCACUGGUCGAGAGUCUCUGCGCCGACAAUGUAACGGGGCUAAGAUAUAAACCGAAGCUGUGGAAUUUUCGAUUAAAUUCGAGGAUUGGUAGGAGAGCGUUCUGUAGGCCGAUGAAGGAGAAUCGUAAGAGACUCUGGAGGUAUCAGAAGUGAGAAUGCAGGAAUAAGUAGCGAGAAAGGAAGUGAGAAUCUUCCUCGCCGGAAGACCAAGGUUUUCAGGGUAAAGCUUGUCUUCCCUGAGUAAGCCGGGACCUAAGCUGAGGCUAUAAUGCGUAGGCGAAUGGAAAACAGAUUAAUAUUUCUGUGCCACUUAUAUUUUGUGAAGUAGGGACGCAGAAGGGUAUGUACGCUGGAGAACGGUAGUUCCAGUGUAAGCAUGUAGUAUGGACUAGUAGGCAAAUCCGCUAGUUUAGAUAUGAGGUGUGAUACGGAGUCUUAGGAUGAAGGUACAAAUCCCACGCUGCCAAGAAAAGCUGCUAACGUUAAGGUAUAAGUGCCCGUACUGUAAACCGACACAGGUGGUCAGGAUGAGAAAUCUAAGGCGGACAGGCUAACUCUCGUUAAGGAACUCUGCAAAAUGGCCCCGUAACUUCGGGAGAAGGGGUGCCCGCUGAUGUCAGUAUUCACGCAAUACAAAGCAUCGGUGGGCCGCAGUGAAGAGGCUCAAGCGACUGUUUAACAAAAACACAGGUCUAUGCUAAGCUGUAAGGCGAUGUAUAUGGGCUGACACCUGCCCAGUGCCGGAAGGUUAAGAGGAGGAGUGAGAGCUCCGAAUUGAAGCCCCGGUGAACGGCGGCCGUAACUAUAACGGUCCUAAGGUAGCGAAAUUCCUUGUCGGGUAAG